rnacentral:rRNA from 1 species
UGUUACAAUGGCGUGGACAAAGGGAUGCCACCUGGCGACAGGGAGCGAAUCCCCAAACCACGUCUCAGUUCGGAUCGGAGUCUGCAACCCGACUCCGUGAAGCUGGAUUCGCUAGUAAUCGCGCAUCAGCCAUGGCGCGGUGAAUACGUUCCCGGGCCUUGUACACACCGCCCGUCAAGCCAUGGGAGCCGGGGGUACCUGAAGUCCGUAACCGAAAGGAUCGGCCUAGGGUAAAACUGGUGACUGGGGCUAAGUCGUAACAAGGUAUC